UACGUAGGUGGCAAGCGUUGUCCGGAUUUAUUGGGUUUAAAGGGUGCGUAGGCGGCUAACUAAGUCAGUGGUGAAAUAUCUCAGCUUAACUGAGAGGGUGCCAUUGAUACUGGAUAGCUUGAGUACAGAUGAGGUAGGCGGAAUUGACGGUGUAGCGGUGAAAUGCAUAGAUAUCGUCAAGAACACCGAUAGCGAAGGCAGCUUACCAAGCUGUAACUGACGCUGAGGCACGAAAGUGUGGGGAUCAAACAGG
rnacentral:rRNA from 1 species